GCGACACUAGCUCAGUUGGUAGAGCGCAACCUUGCCAAGGUUGAGGUCACGAGUUCGAAC
rnacentral:tRNA from 2 species